CGUAGGGUGCGAGCGUUAAUCGGAAUUACUGGGCGUAAAGCGUGCGCAGGCGGUUUUGUAAGCCAGAUGUGAAAUCCCCGGGCUCAACCUGGGAAUGGCAUUUGGGACUGCAAGGCUUGAGUGCGGCAGAGGAGACUGGAAUUCCUGGUGUAGCAGUGAAAUGCGUAGAUAUCAGGAGGAAUACCGAUGGCGAAGGCAGGUCUCUGGGCUGACACUGACGCUCAUGCACGAAAGCGUGGGGAGCAAACAGGAUUAGAUACCCUGGUAGUCCACGCCCUAAACGAUGUCGACUGGUUGUUGGGGGUUUGACACUCUCAGUAACGAAGCUAACGCGUGAAGUCGACCGCCUGGGGAGUACGGCCGCAAGGGUUA
rnacentral:rRNA from 1 species